rnacentral:rRNA from 1 species
UCGCUACUACCGAUUGAAUGAUUUAGUGAGCUGCUUGGACUUCUGCUUUUGAAGAGUUUCUCUGAAUUAGCGGGAGGAAGAGCUACAAACUUGACCAUUUAGAUGAAGUAA